rnacentral:lncRNA from 1 species
GGAAAUUUCUGUGAAGAAACACAGUUUAUAUCCUUGAAUAGAGCUAUCAGCUUCCCAGUUUGCACAAUUCAUCAAGAAAUUAUGCGGGGUCACUGGCACAAAUGAUGAGGCAUCUCCUGGAAGCUUAACUUCUUAUCCAUCCCAUCUCUUGGACAGAUGAUGCCAGUUAAUUACUUUGAAUGCUCCUCCACCAAGCCAAGGCCAGACUCCUGCAAUCAUAGGAUGGCAACACCACCUCUAAAGCACAGAACUUCAGCCUUUGCUUCGGAAGUGGCACCAUGGUCUCUUCAUUUUCCCUUUCUUCAAGGUCAGAAAACUGAAGCUGUUAGGAGUUUUAGUGUUAAGUUCCUUCCGAGGAUGUUAAUUAGGCUUCAAACUGUUUUGUUCUGAGAAAUAAAAACUAAACUCCAGUCAUUCAAGCUAA